UACGUAGGGUGCAAGCGUUUAAUCGGAAUUACUGGGCGUAAAGCGUGCGCAGGCGGUUCUAUAAGACAGAUGUGAAAUCCCCGGGCUCAACCUGGGAACUGCAUUUGUGACUGUAGAGCUGGAGUACGGCAGAGGGGGAUGGAAUUCCGCGUGUAGCAGUGAAAUGCGUAGAUAUGCGGAGGAACACCGAUGGCGAAGGCAAUCCCCUGGGCCUGUACUGACGCUCAUGCACGAAAGCGUGGGGAGCAAACAGG
rnacentral:rRNA from 1 species